UGCCUACAGAGUCUUAACCCAAAGAUCUUCCCAGAGGCCAGUCUGAGGACUCUGUCUCCUGCUUAUUCAUGCAUAAAUGAGCCCUUAUAGAGCACGCAGUAACAUCUUGAGAAAGAAGUAACAGAUUUUCAAGGAGCAGAGAUUGCAGGACCAACAUAAAACUAAGCAGGUCCUAUGCGCCCAUCAAGCACAUCUCCGCAGAAAACCCAACCUGAACUAUAAAAUAUGGAGCAUUCCCCCCAGAGAGCCGUUUAACACUAAGGGCCAGAAAUCCUCCAAAUAGAAAGAUUACCAAAAAAGUCCCCGGUGUUACAUCUAAAGAUGCAAAUGAGACCUCGUAUAUAAUAUCACGUCUGGCUCCACGGAUGGUACCCAGAGUUCCACUCUCCGUAUCCCAGCCUGGUGAAGACCAAGAGCGCUGCUCCAGGCUGUGCCCUCCUCGUUUGUUCUAACCGCUGAGAAGAUGAAGAAGCCCGGUGGGUAUUUUCAAUCAUUCAGCCUCCUCACCUCCAAACUUAAGAAAAAGAAGUGGGGGUAAGGAGAAGGUUAACACACCAACUUUUUCCUCCUCCUUCUCUGAGCUUUUCAAAUGGAAAGAAAGGGGAAAGGUGAGAUGUUUUGGCUGAUAUCCAAGCCAGGAAAGGAAGAUCUAAGGUCUGGCUAAGAAGAGUAGAGAGCAGACUCCCUUCUAUCCAGAGGUGAAUAAUGAGACAUUUCUGCUUGCCAAUAGAAUCUGAGGCAAAUAUUUAUUUACUGAGAAGCUGCCCAGGCCUCUGGGAUUCUUAGGAGGAAGAAACCAGUUUAGCGACCUCCAAUUGGCUGUUCUGAGAAAUCUAGAGAAUCCAAACAUAGAAAGCACUGCAGGAGAGAAUCAGCCUCUCUCUGCCUUUGCUUUCCAGGCUCUGGGUAAGAACUGGCAGUGAGAAAGAUGACUCCUUAGAGCUUGGGCUAUGGAGCCCAGGGCCCUGAUCACAGAGUACGUGAGCAUCCCCUGGCAAGGAGAGAAACCAAGAGGAUUUUAGAGAGCUGCAGGUCUUGCUGGAGGCCUCGGAUGAGCAGCAGAACUGUGACAGGACAGCAAAGGAGUGGGUGGCUGCUGUUAGACCCUUUGGUGUAAAACAAUGGCUCAGAAGUCAGAGAAGCAGAAUCAGGUUGCCAAAAGUCCUGUCACUAGAAAUCCUGGAAAUCACCUGCUUGGUUCAGUCAGGAGACAAAGGCACAGAGAAUACCUUCAACAUUGGUGCUUUUCCGUGAUUGGAUUAUUGAUGGGUUAUUCUGAAUGUGGCAGAAGAAUGGAGAAGAAACAGAAGAUUUGGACUACGUGGAGCGUUGGCUCACUAAUGGAUUCAUUCAAUAAAAAUGUAUCAGGUUUGUAAAUUCAAAACACUCCCUCCUACAGCCUCACCCUUCAAUGAACUUGAUUCUAUGCAGAGUUCAGCAGAACAAUUAUCUAAUGAAAUCAAGCUCAUCGAUUGACAAUCUCAGCUAAGCCAACCCUGCACCCUUUUCUCUUGAAUCUUUUGCCUUUCUUUUAGAUAGAAAUGCAGAAUCUGAGGCCCAGUUCUCCUUCCAAGAUCACAGGCUCAGCCUAAUUUCAGGCCUCUCAUUCUUAAUAAUGCCCAUUUAAUUGAUGUCAUCAGAGCUGCUUUCAUUGUCAUCAGUAAAAAUGUAUGGAGGAACCUCUGGGGAUCUUCUAUUGAACUAAAAGCCUUAAGAAUUUUAUAACAGAGAGGAUGUGCAGUCUGUGCUGUCUAGAAGCUUCAAGAGAUAGGUGUUACAUAGAUUAGCUAAUUAAUGGCAAAGGUUUGUUUAAAAGCUACAGAGCUGGACCAAGGCUGGAAAAAAAACAAAAAAGCUCUCAAGUAUAAUCAGUUAUUUUUGAUUUAUGGAAAAUAUACUUUCUUCUCCUCUAAUAACAAGCAGGAAAAUAGCUAUUUUCAGUUUCGCCCAUAGGGAUCUCUGCAUACAAAUAAUUCAAACAAAACUAAACUUUCAAACUUCAUGCUUUCCCAAGGGAAUCAUCUUUUAUUAGAAAUAGUCACUUCAAAGGUUUGAAUAAAUGUGGGGCUUUU